rnacentral:rRNA from 1 species
GACGAACGCUGGCGGCGUGCUUAACACAUGCAAGUCGAACGGAAAGGCCCUGCCUUUGUGGGGUGCGCGAGGGGCGAACGGGGGAGUAACACGUGAGUAACCUGCCCCUGACCUUGGGAGAACCUCAGGAAACUGGGGCUAAUACCGGAUAGGAGCUCCUGCCGCUGGGUGGGGGUUGGAAAGUUUCGGCGGUUGGGGAUGGACUCGCGGCUUAUCAGCUUGUUGGUGGGGUAGUGGCUUACCAAGGCUUUGCCGGGUAGCCGGCCUGAGAGGGUGGCCGGCCCCAUUGGGACUGAGAUACGGCCCAGCCUCCUACGGGAGGCAGCAGUGGGGAAUAUUGCACAAUGGGCGGAAGCCUGAUGCAGCAACGCCGCGUGCGGGAUGACGGCCUUCGGGUUGUAAACCGCUUUCGCCUGUGACGAAGCGUGAGUGACGGUAAUGGGUAAAGAAGCACCGGCUAACUACGUG